rnacentral:rRNA from 1 species
GUUGUAAUCUGCAGAGGGAGUUUCGGGUAAAGUCUGGUUUAAGUUCCUUGGAACAGGACGUCAUAGAGGGUGAGAACCCCGUCAGUGACCAAUCACCAACCCAUGUGAAACCCCUUCGACGAGUCGAGUUGUUUGGGAAUGCAGCUCCAAAUGGGUGGUAAAUUUCAUCUAAAGCUAAAUAUUGGCCGGAGACCGAUAGCGCACAAGUAGAGUGAUCGAAAGAUGAAAAGCACUUUGGAAAGAGAGUUAAAUAGUACGUGAAAUUGUUGAAAGGGAAGCGCUUGUGACCAGACCUGUGCAUAGGUGAUCAGUUGGUAAUUUUACCAAUGUACUCAUCUAAAGCCAGGCCAGCAUCGGUUUUGGCGGCGGGACAAAAGCGUGGAGAAUGUAACUCUCUCUUGGGUGAGUACUUAUAGCUCGUCAUGAAAUGCCGCCAGCCGAAACCGAGGACCGCGCUUUGGCUAGGAUGCUGGCGUAAUGGUUGCAAGCGACCCGUCUUGAAACACGGACCAAGGAGUCUAACAUCUAUGCAAGUGUUUGGGUGUAAAACCCAGGCGCGGAAUGAAAGUGAAUGGAGGUGGGAACCCUUAAAGGGGGUGCACCAUCGACCGAUCCUGAUGUCUUCGGAUGGAUUUGAGUAUGAGCAUAGCUGUUGGGACCCGAAAGAUGGUGAACUAUGCCUGAACAGGGUGAAGCCAGAGGAAACUCUGGUGGAAGCUCGCAGCGGUUCU